UGGGAUUAGUGAAAAUGCUGAGUAUGUUAAGCCUGAGAUGAGGGAAACUCUGGGUUUUCUGUUUCAGAGAGCGAGAUCAGAUUAACCGAAGAUCAGUUACUUCGGCAACUGAUGCUGUGAACCUAACCUCCUCCCGAGGAGUAGUUCAAAUCUCUAUGAUGCAUUUUAUGGGCUCUUCUUUUAUGUGUAAUAUGAUUAAGAUGUUAUGGUAGGCUACAAAUGCACAAAAGGUCCAUUGAAAUUGCUGUUUCAUGCUGAACAAAUCAGGAUGAAAUCUAAAAAUAUUUUAUCAAGUGGUAGCAUAUUAAUAGCCUACUUCUCAUCAUUAACACUGAGUUCAGAUGUGGUGUGUAGUCCACGUAUACAGGGUAAACUCGAGUUAACCACGAACAAAACCUGCUCGGAGCAGUUUAGAGAUGCAGCGUGAACUGCCAUGGACCACAGGUUAACACUUAUCCACCUUUCGUAGUACGGAUUAAUCAGGAAGUUACACCCGACGUCACAAAGUUAUUCCUGAACAUACCUGGAUAAGCCAGUUACCUCGCUUCAUAGUACAGACCACUAGUCUUAGUCUGUUCGUUGUUAGGUUGUAGUUUAUUUGUGUUAUUUAGUUUUCUGUCUGUUAAAUGUUGGUUUGUGUUCUCUAUCUGGUGAUUGUUCAUUUGACAGUGUUUAGUCUUGUGUGCUUGCUUCCUGUUAUGUUUAGUUUGUCUUUCAGUGUUCAGUCUGUCCUGUUUAGUUUUUAUCCAUUGAGUGUUCAGUUUGUGUUUCUGCAUUUUGGUCUGGUCCUGUCUGUUCCCCUCAGUUGGUUUCACCUGCUUGCCUGUGUCUGAUUGCCUCCACCUGGUCUUGGUCCGGCCCUAGUGUUUAAAAUGUUUGCUUGUUCUGCUCAGUCUUUGUUACAUCCUCGUCUGUGUUGAGUGUUCUGUCCCUGUGCUUUUUAGGAUUUACCCCUUUGGAUUGUACCUUGUUCUUUGUUUAUGGAUUUUCCCUUUGGAUUAUGUUUUUGUUUGGAGUAACCUUUGUUUGGACAUUUGCCACUGUGCUCCCAGUAGCGGUGUAUCCAGUAGAUGCUCAUGUCAGUGAAGAACAAGAAACCAGCAAUGCUCAGGAAGACCCCGGACCAGCCUGAAACAGAACAAACCAGUAUGCUAAUGUAACCAUUGUCUCACCCAGAGGAGAUCCGCUGAUGUUGUCAUAAAGUUUGCUGUUUCCCCUGACCUCCCAGAAGAAAAGUGCCACUGUAGGGAAGCUCAUCCAGAAGAUGGCAACAGUUCCUAGCUGAAUCUCUUUUCUUACCUGAUUCUGUCAUUGGGUCAAAGACAAAAUUAGGAUUUGGGAGUUUGCUUUGGAAUUGUUUCCAGGUCUGAUGUUGUGUUAAAUAAUAAAAACAAAAUGGUCACUAACA